rnacentral:rRNA from 1 species
CACGUAGGGGGCAAGCGUUGUCCGGAUUUAUUGGGCGUAAAGAGCUCGUAGGCGGUUCGGUAAGUCGGGUGUGAAACCUCCAGGCUCAACCUGGAGACGCCACCCGAUACUGCUGUGACUAGAGUCCGGUAGGGGAGCGUGGAAUUCCUGGUGUAGCGGUGAAAUGCGCAGAUAUCAGGAGGAACACCGAUGGCGAAGGCAGGUCUCUGGGCCACUACUGACGCUGAGAAGCGAAAGCGUGGGGAGCGAACAGG